rnacentral:rRNA from 1 species
GAUGAACGCUAGCUACAGGCUUAACACAUGCAAGUCGCGGGACCGGCGCACGGGUGAGUAACGCGUAUCCAACCUGCCCUUCACCUCGGUUUCACCCGGCGAAAGUCGGGCUAAUCCCGUAUGGUGCAGGUUGGGGAUGCGUGGGAGUUGCUUGACGGCGGGGUAACGGCGAACCGUGGCUACGAUCGGUAGGGGUUCUGGGAGGGAGGUCCCCCAGACUGGAACUGAGACACGGUCGGGACUCCGACGGGAGGCAGCAGUGAGGAAUAGUGGGCAAUGGGGGUAAGCCGGAACCAGCCAAGUGGCGGGCAGGACGACGGCCGAUGGGGUGUAAACUGCUUGUAUGCUGGGAUAGGUACCGCAUGAAUAAGGACCGGCUAAUUCCGUGCCAGCAGCCGCGGUAAUUC